UUUGGCUGUCUGAAGAUAGAUCGCCAUCAUGAACGACACUGUAACUAUCCGCACUAGAAAGUUCAUGACCAACCGACUCCUUCAGAGGAAACAAAUGGUCAUUGAUGUCCUUCACCCCGGGAAGGCAACAGUGCCUAAGACAGAAAUUCGGGAAAAACUAGCCAAAAUGUACAAGACCACACCGGAUGUCAUCUUUGUAUUUGGAUUCAGAACUCAUUUUGGUGGUGGCAAGACAACUGGCUUUGGCAUGAUUUAUGAUUCCCUGGAUUAUGCAAAGAAAAAUGAACCCAAACAUAGACUUGCAAGACAUGGCCUGUAUGAGAAGAAAAAGACCUCAAGAAAGCAACGAAAGGAACGCAAGAACAGAAUGAAGAAAGUCAGGGGGACUGCAAAGGCCAAUGUUGGUGCUGGCAAAAAGAAGGUAACAUGUUUUAAGAAACUAUGUAGCAUAG
rnacentral:sRNA from 1 species